rfam:Nicotiana attenuata strain TT chromosome 12, whole genome shotgun sequence.
GGGUCCAUAGCUCAGUGGUAGAGUAUUUGACUGCAGAUCAAGAGGUCACCGGUUUGAACCCGGUUGGGCCCU